rnacentral:rRNA from 1 species
UACGUAGGGUGCAAGCGUUAUCCGGAAUUAUUGGGCGUAAAGAGCUCGUAGGCGGUUUGUCGCGUCUGCUGUGAAAACUGGAGGCUCAACCUCCAGCCUGCAGUGGGUACGGGCAGACUAGAGUGCGGUAGGGGAGAUUGGAAUUCCUGGUGUAGCGGUGGAAUGCGCAGAUAUCAGGAGGAACACCGAUGGCGAAGGCAGAUCUCUGGGCCGUAACUGACGCUGAGGAGCGAAAGCGUUGGGAGCGAACAGG